rnacentral:rRNA from 1 species
GACGAACGCUGGCGGCGUGCUUAACACAUGCAAGUCGAACGGAAAGGCCCUGCUUUUGUGGGGUGCUCGAGUGGCGAACGGGUGAGUAACACGUGAGUAACCUGCCCUUGACUUUGGGAUAACUUCAGGAAACUGGGGCUAAUACCGGAUAGGAGCUCCUGCUGCAUGGUGGGGGUUGGAAAGUUUCGGCGGUUGGGGAUGGACUCGCGGCUUAUCAGCUUGUUGGUGGGGUAGUGGCUUACCAAGGCUUUGACGGGUAGCCGGCCCGAGAGGGUGACCGGCCACAUUGGGACUGAGAUACGGCCCAGACUCCUACGGGAGGCAGCAGUGGGGAAUAUUGCACAAUGGGCGGAAGCCUGAUGCAGCAACGCCGCGUGCGGGAUGACGGCCUUCGGGCUGUAAACCGCUUUCGCCUGUGACGAAGCGUGAGUGACGGUAAUGGGUAAAGAAGCACCGGCUAACUACGUG